rnacentral:lncRNA from 1 species
UGGAAACGCUUUCCACCCUACUGGAUUACUGAAUGUAGAGUAUUGUGUAAAAAAUACACGUAUCUUCAUCCUUUAGCACACCUUGCCAACUCCUGGCCAUUCAACCAACAAAUAACCUCAUUUCAGUAUCUUUUUUAAUUCUUUACCGAUUUGAAAAGCAACAGAGAUGCUUCUUUACCUGACAUGGAAAGGGAAUAGCAGUGUCUAUGGACGGUAGCUAGAAAUUCUCUCAAAUUAGAGUCUUUGUAAUAGUAAAGAUUUAUCUCCUUUGUAAUUGCAGUGUCGAUCUAUAACAAAAUAGUGAAAUAGUAUUGUUAAAAGUAUCAAGAACAAAUUGUAAGGAAAUACUUUGAAAUCUUGAUCAUCCUUUUACCUGUGAUAAAGUAUGAGUCAGAUGCUUUAUGAGACCAUAAACGAACUCAACCAUCUUUUAUCCGCAAAGCUGAUUCAAAGAACCCUAAUAACUUUGAUCUGCAAAA